UACGAAGGGGACUAGCGUUGUUCGGAAUUACUGGGCGUAAAGGGUGCGUAGGCGGCGCGGAAAGUUGGGUGUGAAAUCCCUCGGCUCAACCGAGGAACUGCGCCCAAAACUACCGUGCUCGAGGGAGAUAGAGGUGAGCGGAACUUAGGGUGGAGCGGUGAAAUGCGUUGAUAUCCUAAGGAACACCGGUGGCGAAAGCGGCUCACUGGAUCUCUUCUGACGCUGAGGCACGAAAGCUAGGGUAGCGAACGGG
rnacentral:rRNA from 1 species